AACGAACGCUGGCGGCGUGCCUCAUACAUGCAAGUCGUGCGAGAAAGCCAGCUUCGGUUGGUGAGUAAAGCGGCGAACGGGUGCGUAACACGUGAGUAAUCUGCCCUAAGGUGGGGGAUAAGCUCCCGAAAGGGGGUCUAAUACCGCAUAACAUUUUCUGAUAGCAUUUUCGGGAAAUCAAAGAUGGCCUCUAUUUAUAAGCUAUCACCAUAGGAUGAGCUCGCGCUCCAUUAGCCUGUUGGCAGGGUAACGGCCUACCAAAGCUACGAUGGAUAGCCGGCCUGAGAGGGUGAACGGCCACACUGGGACUGAGAUACGGCCCAGACUCCUACGGGUGGCAG
rnacentral:rRNA from 1 species